rnacentral:tRNA from 1 species
GCACCGUUAGCUCAGUUGGUAGAGCAGCUGACUCUUAAUCAGCGGGUCGAAGGUUCGAGUCCUUCACGGUGUA